GCUCGAUUAGCUCAGCUGGUUAGAGCGUGGUGCUAAUACCGUUGCCAUGGCAACGUCGUAACGCCAAGGUCACAGGUUCGAUCCCUGUAUCGAGCA